GACGAACGCUGACGGUGUGCUUUAGACAUGCAAGUCGAACGAGAAAGCCCUUCGGGUUAGUAAAGUGGCGAACGGGUGAGUAACACGUGGGCAAUCUGCCCCUCGCGAGGGGGACGAACCCGGAAGGAAACUCCGGCUAAUACCCCGUAAGUUCAAAGGGAGGCAUCUCUCUUCGAAGAAAGGUAGCUUCGGCCAUCCGGCGAGGGAUGAGCCCGCGGUGCAUUAGCUAGUUGGUGGGGUAACGCCUACCAAGGCGACGAUGCAUAGCUGGUCUGAGAGGAUGAUCAGCCACACUGGGACUGAGACACGGCCCAGACUCCUACGGGAGGCAGC
rnacentral:rRNA from 1 species